GCUCAGAUUGAACGCUGGCGGCAGGCCUAACACAUGCAAGUCGAACGGUAACAGGAAACAGCUUGCUGUUUCGCUGACGAGUGGCGGACGGGUGAGUAAUGUCUGGGAAACUGCCUGAUGGAGGGGGAUAACUACUGGAAACGGUAGCUAAUACCGCACAACGUCGCAAGACCAAAGAGGGGGACCUUCGGGCCUCUUGCCAUCGGAUGUGCCCAGAUGGGAUUAGCUAGUAGGUGGGGUAAAGGCUCACCUAGGCGACGAUCCCUAGCUGGUCUGAGAGGAUGACCAGCCACACUGGAACUGAGACACGGUCCAGACUCCUACGGGAGGCAGCAGUA
rnacentral:rRNA from 1 species